rnacentral:rRNA from 1 species
CCUACGGGAGGCAGCAGUGGGGAAUAUUGGACAAUGGGGGCAACCCUGAUCCAGCCAUGCCGCGUGUGUGAAGAAGGCCCUCGGGUUGUAAAGCACUUUCAGUGAGGAAGAACGCCUGGUGGUUAAUACCCAUCAGGAAAGACAUCACUCACAGAAGAAGCACCGGCUAACUCCGUGCCAGCAGCCGCGGUAAUACGGAGGGUGCGAGCGUUAAUCGGAAUUACUGGGCGUAAAGCGCGCGUAGGUGGCUUGAUAAGCCGGUUGUGAAAGCCCCGGGCUCAACCUGGGAACGGCAUCCGGAACUGUCAAGCUAGAGUGCAGGAGAGGAAGGUAGAAUUCCCGGUGUAGCGGUGAAAUGCGUAGAGAUCGGGAGGAAUACCAGUGGCGAAGGCGGCCUUCUGGACUGCCACUGACACUGAGGUGCGAAAGCGUGGGUAGCAAACAGGAUUAGAUACCCUAGUAGUC